rnacentral:misc_RNA from 1 species
AACGCACAUUGCGCCCGCCAGUAUUCUGGCGGGCAUGCCUGUUCGAGCGUCAUUUCAACCCUCAGGCCCCCAGUGCCUGGCGUUGGGGAUCGGCGCGGGCGGCGCACCCUCCGGGGUGUGCCCGCCUGCCGGCCCCGAAAUUCAGUGGCGGUCUCGCUGUAGUCCCCCUCUGCGUAGUAGCACAACUCGCAUUGGAGCUCGGCGGUGGCCAUGCCGUAAAACACCCCACUUCUGAAAGUUGACCUCGGAUCAGGUAGGAAUACCCGCUGAACUUAA